rnacentral:rRNA from 1 species
UACGGGGGGAGCAAGCGUUGUUCGGAUUUACUGGGCGUAAAGGGCGCGUAGGCGGCGUGACAAGUCACUUGUGAAAUCUCCGGGCUUAACCCGGAGCGGCCAAGUGAUACUGUCGUGCUAGAGUGCGGUAGGGGAGACUGGAAUUCCUGGUGUAGCGGUGAAAUGCGCAGAUAUCAGGAGGAACACCGGUGGCGAAGGCGGGUCUCUGGACCGAUACUGACGCUGAGGAGCGAAAGCGUGGGGAGCAAACAGG